GAUGAACGCUAGCGGCAGGCCUAACACAUGCAAGUCGAGGGGCAGCACAGAAACAGCAAUGUUUUGGUGGCGACCGGCGGACGGGUGCGUAACGCGUAUGCAACCUACCUUUAACAGGGGGAUAACGGAGAGAAAUUUCCACUAAUACCCCAUAACAUCGAUCAAGGCAUCUUGAUUGGUUGAAAACUCCGGUGGUUAAAGAUGGGCAUGCGUUGUAUUAGGUAGUUGGUGAGGUAAUGGCUCACCAAGCCGACGAUACAUAGGGGGGACUGAGAGGUUAGCCCCCCACACUGGUGCGAAGACACGGACCAAACUCCUACGGGAGGCAGAAGAGCGGAAUAUUGGUGACUGGGGGCAACCCUGAACCAGCCAUGCCGCGUGCAGGAAGACGGGUCUAUGAGUUGUAAACUGCUUUUAAACAGGGAUAAAGCACAGUAUGUAUACUGUGUUGAAGGUACUGUAAGAAUAAGGAUCGGCUAACUCCGUGCCAGCAGCCGCCGUAA
rnacentral:rRNA from 1 species